GUGGGGAAUUUUGGACAAUGGGCGCAAGCCUGAUCCAGCAAUGCCGCGUGUGUGAAGAAGGCCUUCGGGUUGUAAAGCACUUUUGGCAGGAAAGAAAUAGCGCGUGCUAAUACCAUGCGCGAAUGACGGUACCUGCAGAAUAAGCACCGGCUAACUACGUGCCAGCAGCCGCGGUAAGACGUAGGGUGCAAGCGUUAAUCGGAAUUACUGGGCGUAAAGCGUGCGCAGGCGGUUUUGUAAGACAGGUGUGAAAUCCCCGGGCUCAACCUGGGAACUGCACUUGUGACUGCAAGGCUAGAGUGUGUCAGAGGGAGGUGGAAUUCCGCGUGUAGCAGUGAAAUGCGUAGAGAUGCGGAGGAACACCGAUGGCGAAGGCAGCCUCCUGGGAUAACACUGACGCUCAUGCACGAAAGCGUGGGGAGCAAACAGGAUUAGAAACCCGUGUAGUCC
rnacentral:rRNA from 1 species